UCCCUUUUCAUUACGACUUUUUUCUCCGCUUAACACAAUUCGCUUUUUGCUUCUUUCAUUCUUAGCUUCAACUUAUUUUCUUUCUAGCUUUUGUGGGUAACUUAGGGUUUAUCUCGCCGUAGAUCUGGGUUGGGGCUCAUACCCAAUGGUGGCUGGAGCGAAGGUUUGUGGAGCUCCAGACGGCAUGAGAUCUACAGUUAUUCACCUUCCUUCUCAUCUCUCCGUCGUCAGUCAUGGGUUCGGUUUUGCAAAAAAGUCGAGAUCUUCACCAGUUACUAUCCCUUUCCGGAAUCGAUUCCCGAACAAGAGAUAUAGUAAAGAAUUGUGGUCCUCGUGGAGUUAGCAGGUGGAUAUAUCAUCAGUAUUUGCGAAUUGAGCAAUGAUAUCCUCUUCCUCAUGCGGCUGCAGUGCUAAAAGAGAAGUGUAAGAUUGACUUGUGUGUUAUGAGGAUCACUGGCUCAAGCAAAUCAUAAGUCGAUGAACUUGUUAGAGUUCUUUGUAGGUAAAUUACUUUACUGCUUUUUCCUUACACAAUCAUCUUUUCUAGGGGAAUCAACUUAUCAAGAUUGAGUUAACUUAUGUAAGAAGAGGGAGAGUCAGCUGAUGCUGAUACAGCAAGCUGUUACUACGACUGGUUGCUGCUGCUACGAGGAAUUCAUGUGGUCACUACGACCCAGGAGAUAUCAGAAUCUAAAGAUCAGAGAUCUCUAAAGAAAAUCGUACAGACUUUUAUGAAGGAUGACGGUGGUGAGCAGUAUCUACGUUUGCCAACGACGGUGGUGGUGGUGGUUACGGCCAAGACAUAUCACAAAAUGUUUUUUUUUUGUC